rnacentral:lncRNA from 1 species
AGCUCUUUGUCACUACCUACCAACCACAACGAUUGUCAUUUCAUGUGGUCCACUGUAUUUGAUACUCUGCAUUUUUUAAAUGACUGCAACCAUUGCAAACAAGAUGGGGGUCCACACUUAGAAUAACCACUUUGCCAGUUUGUCCAGCAAAUGCACUCAAAACUCUGACACUGUGAAAACAUGGUGUAUUUUCAUUGUUGCUUGCCUAACUGUUAAAAUAACUUCCCCUUUGAAUGAGCUUUCUAAUGUAACAGUGUGUUGUCAUCACUAAUUUACACAAAACUUGUUCAGUGGCCAUCUUGUGAUGACACGGGAGAUGACGCAUAUUGCUCACUCCUCUCCUACAUACAGGAAGUUAGUUUGGACUCUCUGAUAUGAGACGUGCGAUAGUUUGCCCCAUCCCUUCAUAGGCCCCAAGGUAAUCCCCGUAAAUAAGGACUUUUCAC